rnacentral:rRNA from 1 species
AGUGAACGCUGGCGGUAGGCCUAACACAUGCAAGUCGAACGGCAGCACAGGAGAGCUUGCUCUCUGGGUGGCGAGUGGCGGACGGGUGAGGAAUACAUCGGAAUCUACUCUGUCGUGGGGGAUAACGUAGGGAAACUUACGCUAAUACCGCAUACGACCUACGGGUGAAAGCAGGGGAUCUUCGGACCUUGCGCGAUUGAAUGAGCCGAUGUCGGAUUAGCUAGUUGGCGGGGUAGAGGCCCACCAAGGCGACGAUCCGUAGCUGGUCUGAGAGGAUGAUCAGCCACACUGGAACUGAGACACGGUCCAGACUCCUACGGGAGGCAGCAGUGGGGAAUAUUGGACAAUGGGCGCAAGCCUGAUCCAGCCAUACCGCGUGGGUGAAGAAGGCCGUCGGGUUGUAAAGCCCUUUUGUUGGGAAAGAAAUCCAGCUGGCUAAUACCCGGUUGGGAUGACGGUACCCAAAGAAUAAGCACCGGCUAACUUCGUGCCAGCCGCCGCGGUAA